AUUGAACGCUGGCGGCAGGCCUAACACAUGCAAGUCGAGCGAGCGGCGGACGGGUGUGGAAUGUCUGUGAAACUGCCUGUUGUAGGGGGAUAACUACCGGAAACGGUAGCUAAUAUCGCAUAUCAUCUGAUGUGUCCAGAUGGGAUUAGCUAGUAGGUGGGGUAACGGCUCACCUAGGCGACGAUCCCUAGCUGGUCUGUGAGGAUGACCAGCCACACUGGAACUGAGACACGGUCCAGACUCCUACGGGAGGCAGCAGUGGGGAAUAUUGCACAAUGGGCGCAAGCCUGAUGCAGCCAUGCCGCGUGUGUGAAGAAGGCCUUCGGGUUGUAAAGCACUUUCAGCGGGGAGGCGUUACCCGCAGAAGAAGCACCGGCUAACUCCGUGCCAGCAGCCGCGGUAAUAC
rnacentral:rRNA from 1 species